rnacentral:rRNA from 1 species
CUUUUACAAUGAAGAGUUUGAUCCUGGCUCAGGAUGAACGCUAGCUACAGGCUUAACACAUGCAAGUCGAGGGGCAGCAUGAACUUAGCUUGCUAAGUUUGAUGGCGACCGGCGCACGGGUGAGUAACACGUAUCCAACCUGCCGAUGACUCGGGGAUAGCCUUUCGAAAGAAAGAUUAAUACCCGAUGGCAUAAUUCUUCCGCAUGGUAGAAUUAUUAAAGAAUUUCGGUCAUCGAUGGGGAUGCGUUCCAUUAGGUUGUUGGCGGGGUAACGGCCCACCAAGCCUUCGAUGGAUAGGGGUUCUGAGAGGAAGGUCCCCCACAUUGGAACUGAGACACGGUCCAAACUCCUACGGGAGGCAGCAGUGAGGAAUAUUGGUCAAUGGACGAGAGUCUGAACCAGCCAAGUAGCGUGAAGGAUGACUGCCCUAUGGGUUGUAAACUUCUUUUAUACGGGAAUAAAGUGAGGCACGUGUGCCUUUUUGUAUGUACCGUAUGAAUAAGGAUCGGCUAACUCCGUGCCAGCAGCCGCGGUAAUACGGAGGAUCCGAGCGUUAUCCGGAUUUAUUGGGUUUAAAGGGAGCGUAGGCGGACGCUUAAGUCAGUUGUGAAAGUUUGCGGCUCAACCGUAAAAUUGCAGUUGAUACUGGGUGUCUUGAGUACAGUAGAGGCAGGCGGAAUUCGUGGUGUAGCGGUGAAAUGCUUAGAUAUCACGAAGAACUCCGAUUGCGAAGGCAGCUUGCUGGACUGUAACUGACGCUGAUGCUCGAAAGUGUGGGUAUCAAACAGGAUUAGAUACCCUGGUAGUCCACACAGUAAACGAUGAAUACUCGCUGUUUGCGAUAUACAGUAAGCGGCCAAGCGAAAGCGUUAAGUAUUCCACCUGGGGAGUACGCCGGCAACGGUGAAACUCAAAGGAAUUGACGGGGGCCCGCACAAGCGGAGGAACAUGUGGUUUAAUUCGAUGAUACGCGAGGAACCUUACCCGGGCUUGAAUUGCAACUGAAUGAUGUGGAGACAUGUCAGCCGCAAGGCAGUUGUGAAGGUGCUGCAUGGUUGUCGUCAGCUCGUGCCGUGAGGUGUCGGCUUAAGUGCCAUAACGAGCGCAACCCUUAUCGAUAGUUACCAUCAGGUUAUGCUGGGGACUCUGUCGAGACUGCCGUCGUAAGAUGUGAGGAAGGUGGGGAUGACGUCAAAUCAGCACGGCCCUUACGUCCGGGGCUACACACGUGUUACAAUGGGGGGUACAGAAGGCAGCUACACGGCGACGUGAUGCUAAUCCCUAAAGCCUCUCUCAGUUCGGAUUGGAGUCUGCAACCCGACUCCAUGAAGCUGGAUUCGCUAGUAAUCGCGCAUCAGCCACGGCGCGGUGAAUACGUUCCCGGGCCUUGUACACACCGCCCGUCAAGCCAUGAAAGCCGGGGGUACCUGAAGUGCGUAACCGCAAGGAGCGCCCUAGGGUAAAACUGGUGAUUGGGGCUAAGUCGUAACAAGGUAGCCGUACCGGAAGGUGCGGCUGGAACACCUCCUUUCU